GAUUUAUCGCCGAAAGAUCGGCCCGCGUCUGAUUAGCUAGUUGGUGAGGUAACGGACUCACCAAGGCGACGAUCAGUAGCUGGUCUGAGAGGAUGAUCAGCCACAUUGGGACUGAGACACGGCCCAAACUCCUACGGGAGGCAGCAGUGGGGAAUAUUGGACAAUGGGGGCAACCCUGAUCCAGCCAUGCCGCGUGAGUGAUGAAGGCCCUAGGGUUGUAAAGCUCUUUUGUGCGGGAAGAUAAUGACGGUACCGCAAGAAUAAGCCCCGGCUAACUUCGUG
rnacentral:rRNA from 1 species